CCACGGUACAUGUGUUCCUGGAUUGCUGCUGUACAUGUGUGCCAGGUGGCCCCUCAAGUCCCUGUUCGACUGUCCUGUGGGUCCGGACAAACUGGUGCCCGGAACGUUUGGCUUCCCGGUGAUUGCUGAGGAAGAGAACACUGCUCAUCAUUGGAGGGUAGGCCUACCCGCUCAUCUCAGGAAGCUUCAGUUUUGCACAACGCCACAGUCCACCCAACUGUGAGACCAUCUGGGAAAGAGAACAUAACCAGUGCAGAUCU
rnacentral:lncRNA from 1 species